rnacentral:rRNA from 1 species
AUUGAACGCUGGCGGCAUGCUUUACACAUGCAAGUCGAACGGUAACAGGGUGCUUGCACCGCUGACGAGUGGCGAACGGGUGAGUAAUGCGUCGGAACGUGCCGAGUAGUGGGGGAUAACGCAUCGAAAGGUGUGCUAAUACCGCAUACGUACUGAGGUAGAAAGUGGGUGACCUUCGGGCCUCACGCUAUUCGAGCGGCCGACGUCUGAUUAGCUAGUUGGUGAGGUAAAGGCUCACCAAGGCGACGAUCAGUAGCGGGUAUAAGUGGAUGAUCCGCAACACUGGGACUGGAACGAGGACCAGACUCCUACGGGGGGCAGCAGUGGGGAAUUUUGGAAAAUGGGAGCAAGCCUGAUCCAGCCAUGCCGCGUGUCUGAAGAAGGCCUUCGGGUUGUAAAGGACUUUUGUCCGGGAGCAAAUACCCAGUGCUAAUAACGCUGGGGGGCUGAGAGUACCGGAAGAAUAAGCACCGGCUAACUACGUGCCAGCCGCCGCUGUAAAAC